rnacentral:rRNA from 1 species
UACGUAGGGUGCAAGCGUUGUCCGGAAUUAUUGGGCGUAAAGAGCUCGUAGGCGGUCUGUCACGUCGGCUGUGAAAACCUGGGGCUCAACUCCGGGCCUGCAGCCGAUACGGGCAGACUAGAGUUCGGCAGGGGAGACUGGAAUUCCUGGUGUAGCGGUGAAAUGCGCAGAUAUCAGGAGGAACACCGGUGGCGAAGGCGGGUCACUGGACAUGUAUUGACGCUGAGGUGCGAAAGCGUGGGGAGCAAACAGG